GCAAUGGUGAUAAAAAGAUAUUUGCUAUUCUUGAGUAUUUAUCAAUGCAGUGCACG
rnacentral:snoRNA from 1 species